UACGUAGGGUGCAAGCGUUAAUCGGAAUUACUGGGCGUAAAGCGUGCGCAGGCGGUUUUGCAAGUCUGUCGUGAAAUCCCCGGGCUUAACCUGGGAAUGGCGAUGGAGACUGCGAGGCUAGAGUUUGGCAGAGGGGGGUAGAAUUCCACGUGUAGCAGUGAAAUGCGUAGAGAUGUGGAGGAACACCGAUGGCGAAGGCAGCCCCCUGGGUCAAAACUGACGCUCAUGCACGAAAGCGUGGGGAGCAAACAGG
rnacentral:rRNA from 1 species